GGGAAAUGUAAAUCUUUUCUGCUUUACUCUUUUCUUUCAUUUGGCAAGAGAUCUUAAAUUCUUAAACCAAUGUGCUCUAGAAUUUUUCAAAAAAAGAAUAAAAAAGAAAAAAAUAUGAAGUGAAGAACAAAGAUGAGAGAGGUGAAUUGAUAUCUGGGGUUCAAUAACAGGGGAUUUUACUACUCAACUUGAGAGCAGAAUACCUCACCUCGAAGAAAAUCAGCAAGAAUAAUGGCAGGACUUAAAUACCUCACCUUGUAGAAAAUGAGUAAGAAGAACCGUAGGACUUAUAACUGGUUUCCCUAACAAUAAAAAGACCAUGGAUUACAGAAAAAUUAAUCGCCAAGCAAUCUAACAAACUUUACAUUACCAAACGCAUGCAUUUUGGUCGGUUUUCUUCUCUUUCCAGAAAUAGGUUUCUCUUUCAGCUGUCAAGCUGGUUGAAAACCCAUAAUAAUAAUAAGAGGUGAUACAUCACAGAUAUAUGUUUCCAACUAUCACCUGCCUCGCAGAGGAGAUCGGCCACCUCUCUCACUGACAUCAUCUUCUAAUUCAAUCCCAUCUAAACAAAAACCAUUAUUGUUGACACUCACUUCUGAACUAGCAUUACUGCUUGUUGCCAGAGGAGAGUCUAACACGCUAACUGUUCUACUUCGUGUAGAACCUGAUCUCACACUAUACAUUGAAGAUGCUGGAAUGUUGGUCAUCAGAGGCCGUCUAUUAUUACCAGGAAUGCUUCGCCUUAUGUCCAUAUGUCUUAUAGCCAUAUCCAAUGAUUUCUUUGAAAGCGUUCUUCCAAAGCCUGAGCUGUCAGGUGAUGAUGACUUCCCAGACAAGUUUCCAUGAGGAGAAAGUUUAUCAUCUUGCUUAGGAGGAGCCAAUUUUCGCAUAUUUAUCACUCUUUCAACCAUUUUGGUUCCAAUUAUGACAGGGCUCACAUUGUCAUUAACUUUAGAAUGCCCACGACUAAUUGCAGGAACAGAGCUCCCACUUGCGUGGAUAAAUCCAUUGGGGGCUCGUCCUCUUGCAGGAGAGCAUGAUUGCCGUCUUGCUCUCCCAUUAGGAGUAGGUUCAAUAGAGGAAGAUCUAGAACUGGGUGCUCCAGGCCUACCCCUAGUGGCUGAAAGCGGCCGCUCAGGUAGUGAUGUUCUCAAAUUUGGUGGAGUAUCAAGUGAGAAACCAGGCAUCUCUGAGGGUUUCCAUGGUCUAGAUUUUACAGUUGGAGAAGUGCCGCGUGAUGGCACUGGAUUUCUUGCCAUUGUGGGUGUUGUCUUGGUAACUGAAGGAAUUGACUUAACAGGAGGACCAGAUACAGUAGCAGUUGCAGGCAUUGUCUUGGUAACUGAAGUCAACUUAACAGGAGCAGACAUAGUCGGUGCACUUGAUGGAGUGGAUAGCCGUCGGGUUGGGGUUGAUGCCCUCGAUGUGGAUUUAGGUGGAGGAAUUGAAGGCCUCGUAGUUGGUGUUGAUGACCUUGCAGUGGAUCUUGAUGGUGUUGAAGAUCUAGUAGGAACAGUAGGCUUUGUUGCAGAAACAGUGGGCUUAACAGAGACAGUUGGCUUAGUUGCAGAAACUGCUGACUUAGUUGCAGAAACUACUGAUUUAGAUGAAUGCAAAUUGGCCCGAGAAGUAGGUGUUGAAGAUCUAGAAGGGUUAGAUGAUAUGGUCAAUGUAGGGCGCCCAUUUGGUGUUGUAGAUCGUGAUCCUGGACCACCUGAUGAUGAAGGCCUGCGCAUCCCUGCACCAUAAGAGUUCAACCCAGGGGAGGAAGCUGAUUGUUUAGAUACUAAGUUGCCCCUUGUAGCAGGAUCCAUCUGAGGGUUUGCUAGUCUAGAUUUAAGGGCAGUGGGACGAGCCUUUGGAGUACCAAUCUGACUCAUAACAGUCUUUUGUGAUUCCAUCUCCAAAGAAGGAAACAAAGGGGUACCAGGAGGUGUUAGAAGCCAUUCGUAGUCAUUUUUAUCACUAUCAGAAUUGAGAAAAUCAUCAGCACCACUGGCUUUCCGCGCGGGCGUUGCGGUAGAUGAGAUAUUAAAUAUAGGAGAAGUACCAGGUUUCGACACUAAAGGUGCAUCAAACUCUUCAGUGUUAUUUAGGAGGAGAUUAUUUUGCUCCUUCUCACACUUCUUCAUUUCCAGAAACAACGCCAGCUCUUCAUCCUUCUCCUUCAUCAUUGACGCCCUUAACUGUUGUCUCUGCUUCACCACAGCCGCUGCCAUUUGCAUUUGCGAGUCCUGAGCCCUAAAACUACGAUUCAUUUCCACAAAUCUGAACCCCUCGCUCUCUCUCCACUUCAGACAAAAAUAAAACAGUCACAACAAAUCACAGAUCGAACAAUAAAAACAAACAAAACCUAAAACCCAGCUUAACUUCCUGCUCACGCCUCAAACCACAAGAAAACGCCUAAUAAUACUAAUUUAUCAUCCACAAGCUCCCUUCCACAGAUAAAAUUAGUGAAAAGUUAGAUCUAAAUCCAACUCCAAUGGCGGCAUUUCGCGUUCACUUCUCUUUACAGAGCCAAAAACGACAGAGAAGAAGAAAUAGAGAGAGAUGAAGCUCAGGUUGAAGAUAGUAUAAAGGCUGAAGUGAGCAGAGAAGAGGCCACCAUUGUUGCAAAAAGGAGCUGAAAGACCUUUCUAGAAAGAGAAAUUUCUAGAGAGAGAAAUAAGGUGAGAGGUGGAGAUCACAGACUUACAGUGAACACAAAGAGAGAGAGAAAGGAGGAGAAGAGUAGCAAUGAAAGUAAUUAGAAAGAGAAAAGGAGGGUGAAAUGGUAAAAUGAGGAGAGGUGAGAGGUUCCUUGUAGGAAUGGAUGAGCAGUUUUGUUUAUGGUGAGAUUUUUCUUGUUAGAAAGGACAACUGGAAAUGGUGAGAGAGAGAGAGAGAGAGACGCAGGGAGAGGGAGAGAUGGAUCACGCGGCAGAUGCCCACCGGACCGAUUUGAUGACGAUAAUGAGGUUUGUACUGAAUGAACAAUCAAAGCACCCAGGUUCGCGUGGGGAUUUCACUAUCUUGCUCAAUCAUAUUGUUCUUGGCUGCAAAUUCGUUUGCUCUGCUGUUAACAAGGCGGGUCUUGCCAAGCUUAUUGGACUUGCUGGGGAGACAAAUGUUCAGGGUGAAGAGCAAAAGAAACUGGAUGUGCUUUCAAAUGAAGUAUUCAUCAAGGCUUUAGUAAGCAGUGGCCGAACAUGCAUACUUGUCUCUGAAGAAGAUGAGGAGGCAAUAUUUGUGGAGCCUGACAAGCGUGGAAAGUACUGUGUUGUUUUUGAUCCAUUGGAUGGAUCCUCCAACAUUGACUGUGGUGUUUCUAUUGGAACGAUCUUUGGGAUUUACAUGGUGAAACAUGGCCGUGAACCAACUCUAGAUGAUGUUUUGCAACCUGGGAAAAAUAUGGUAGCAGCUGGCUAUUGCAUGUAUGGAAGCUCUUGCAUGCUUGUGUUGAGUACUGGAAGUGGUGUUAAUGGUUUCACCCUUGAUCCAUCCCUUGGGGAGUUCAUACUUACUCACCCUGAUAUUAAGGUAUGUUUUACAAGCGUUGGAUCGAUUGCUUGAAAUCAUUCUUCUUAUUUUAUUUAUUUAUUUAUUAUACUUUUCAUUAUUCAUAAUGUUGUAGUAAAUUGUGAAACUUUAAUUUUUGCAAUAAGUUGAACCACAAACUUCCUGUGUAAGGAAGUUAUAUUUACAAGAAAUUUAACCUAUCCUUUUUUUUUAGUGUUAGAAUUGGCCUGAUGGGUAUGUCUUUCUUCAUCGCAACUUGUUUUAGUAUAUCCAGAGUCUUUUGAUAGCGCACGAGGCCUAAGGGAUAUCCGCUUGAAUGAGAGAGAAACUGUUUUUCAAAUCACAUAAACAAUAAUAAAGGAUGCUAGCCAUCUCUGACUCUUAAUAUUUCUGGUUUAUUUUGGAGUAUUCACUAUUUCUUUCUCAUGUUGUCUAAGCAUUAGUUUCUCACUUCCUUCCUCCCUACCUCUUCCCUUUCCCAAAUAGAUUCCAAAGAAAGGAAAGAUUUAUUCAGUAAAUGAAGGAAAUGCUAAGAACUGGGAUGCUCCAACAGCCAAGUAUGUGAUAUUCACAUUCUUGCAGUUUUCUAUUGAUUCUUCACUGUAGUUUACUGACAUUAUAUGUCCUUAGGUAUGUGGAAAAAUGCAAGUUCCCUGAGGAUGGUUCCUCACCAAAGUCUCUGAGAUACGUUGGAAGCAUGGUGGCUGAUGUGCAUCGCACAUUACUCUAUGGGGGAAUAUUUUUGUACCCUGCAGAUAAGAAGAGUCCCAAUGGGAAACUGCGUGUGCUGUAUGAAGUCUUUCCAAUGUCAUUUUUGAUGGAACAAGCAGGAGGUCAAUCUUUUACUGGCAAGCAAAAGGCACUUGACUUGGUUCCAGAGAAGAUACAUCAGCGAUCUCCAAUAUUUCUAGGAAGCUAUGAUGAUGUUGAGGAAAUCAAAGCACUCUAUGCUGCUGAAAAGCAGAGCGCAUAAAGAAUCAUUCUCUUAUAAUGCUUACAUAGCCUUAUUAACUGUACUGUGGCUACUUGACCACCCUUCUUCUAAUCAUAUAUUGGUAGGUUGAAACUCUCUUUCUUAAAGUUUCUUUCAAUAAGGUGAUAUAUUUUGAAUAAUAAUUUUUUGUUAAUAUAUUUUGAAUAAUGUUAACAUGAUUAUGUUCAAGUGGUUUGAAGGGUUGCAUGAAGCUAGGUUAUGAUUUUCAACAAUGACAAAAGAAAAAGGUUCUUUUAAGUUUUUUACCAUUAUAUCCAUUAUUUUUCCCCCCUAUAAUCAUGCUAAUGCUAUAGACUUCAAUUUGAAUGAGUUAGUUUAAAAAGAAAAAAAAAAUUCAUGCUUUUUUUUAAAGAAAAAAUUGUCAUGAUGGGUUAACAUAUCAUUGAAAGGGAUUAUUGUGUGAAAAAGCUAGAUGUUGAAAUAUAACAGCAAAUUCUUAAAGUUCUCAUGGAGAGAUUAAUAAAUUUUAAUUCAAUGGUAUUAUAAUGGAUUGUGAAGUCUUAAAUGUCAAAAUUAAAUUAAAAAAAAAAAGAACUCAUGAGAGAUGGUCAUAAGAAAAGUUAGAAAGUUGAAGGAGAAGAAGGGUAUUAGAAUGUUCAAAAGAAUUGUUCAAACUUCAAACCCAUUAUCAAUACUAUUAAUCAUUCCUUCUUCUAAAAGCAACUUCUUUUCACUUUCAUCUCCAUGAUUUCUAGAAUGUUAAAUUACAAGAAGCUGCCUUGAAUAGUUAAUUAUGUCCUAAAUUGGACUGUCAGUGAAUUAAUAGUAAAAAAUAACAUGCUAAUUGUCUUAACUCAACAUUAAAUUACUGUUCAUUUAAUAAUUUUAUAAUUAAAGUUAAUACAAACUGCAGCGGAUAGGAGAUGUCCAUAAGCUAUUAACAAUGUAUUUUUUAAUUUAAUUAAACACUUUAAUUCAACUAUUUUGAUACCCAUCAAUUAUAAGCUGUAUUCAAUAGUUAAACUAAUCAAUAUUAUAUCUAGUACUAUAAAAUUGAGAAAAACAUUUAAGUAACCUCUUUCACAGGUAUACUAAUUCAUGCAAAAUAAUAACCAGCUUUAACUAUAAUCAUGUUUCACGAGUCAGGAUCCCAUCCUUUUCUGGCAAUAAUGAUAUUUAUCACUUUUUUUAUUAAAAAAAAAAUAGUGAAUUAGCAUGAGGUCUAUAGGUUUUAUAAUUAUUUGCAACUUUCUUUCUGAAUUUUAACAAUUAUAUUAAAAUGUUCAUAACUUUCAUUUCAUCUAUAAGAUAACUUUUAAUUCAUUUAUUGAGUAAUCACUCCGUCUAAAUUUAAAGAUUUUUAUUGUUAGUUCAUUAUAAAAAGAUCACAUUUCUUAACCCCCUCCUCGAUCAAUGAAUCUCUCCUCCUUGUUCUUUUCUAUUUUCAUGCCAGGUUACUUGCUAUUACUAC
rnacentral:misc_RNA from 1 species